AUUUACAGACAAAUCAAUGGUUAUGAUAGUUGCGGCAAUGUGUGCGGAUUAAAGAAUUCUAGAAAUGAGGAUGAAUUGUGCUCUAAUCCUGAUAAACGAAACGAAAAUUUCCUGCUCAUAAAAAAGAUUCGGUAUAGAGAAUUCACAAUAAUUGAUCGGCAAUGUGUCGCAAACUGCUCUGAAUAUCCGAACUAUGUACAGGAUGGGAUUUUUUGUACAAAUGGGAAAGUGAGUCGAGGAGUUAGAAAUAUGUUUCCCACAAAUCAUCUUGAACUUGGUGCUGUUGCAGUUGUUUUGUUGAUUGCCGUCGUUUUUGCAGACAUUGUUCUCGUGCUAUUACGCUAUGCCACAAAAAUCGUUGUGUGGUUCACGGUCGGUUUCGUUGCUGGGUCGCUAGUUAUUUUAAGUAUUUAUCUUCUUUAUUUGGGAAUGAUGCUCGAGGGGAUUGUCAUCACAUUAUUGACGGUCAUUGUGUUCUACUUCAUCUACAAAACUCGACAACAAAUAAAAUUCGUCAUUAAAUUGUUCAAAGAAGCUGCGACUGCGCUGAUGUAUAUGCCACUGCUUCUGUUCGAGCCACUAUUGACUGUUUUGUCAGUGACUAUCGCUACCCUCCUUUGUGUUUACUUUAUGCUCGUAAUUGACUCAGCUGGAUUUUAUAACAAGGAACUUGACCUCUUCGAGAAGAACUGGGUGAUGAAGUUCACAUAUUGCCUAAAUUAUUUCGUUUUCUUUUGGUUCGUUCAGUUUAUCGUUGGGUGUCAACAUUUCGUUAUAGCUGGAACUGUAUCGCAAUGGUACUUCACACGCAACAAAUCGAAAGUACGGUCACCGAUUUGCAACUCUUUCUACAACUUGAUUUUCUUCCAUUUGGGAACCAUUUGCUUGGGAUCAUUGAUGCUGACUAUAAUAAAACUAAUUCGUAUGGUCAUGCGCAGAGUAAAGGCAAGAAAAGUUUAUAUAAAUUGGUCAGUACCACGCACAUUUAUUUCCCCUUGUUUUACAGAGACUUAUGAGAGAAUCCGAUAACAUUGUAUUGAUUGCCUUAAGCUAUGUUUACGAAUUCAUGAUGAGUCUCUUAGAAGGUAUCAUCAGCUUCUUGAACAACAACGCUUACAUUGUGACAGCGAUUGACGGAUUGCCACUGUUUGCUGCUGGAAAACGGGCCGUUCAUUUAAUCUUCAACAACUUCGGCGAACAUAUGGCUAGUCAAACUGUAGGAGAUCUCGUCAUUGGCUCAUGCAAAUUAUUCAUAUUUUUGCCAUCCUUCUUAGUCGGCAUCGAAAUGAUAUCGUCCGGCCUGUCAUUGAUCGUUGUUUUACUUUUGGCCAUACUUGUCUCUCACGUUAUGAUGUCAACGUUUGAGACUACUGUCGACACGUUGUUCAUCUGUUACAGCAUUGAUUCCGAGGAAAAUGAUGGCGAGGAGCGACCAUAUUUUAUGUCUGAAAACUUGAUCAUUGCAAUGGUCGAAACCAAGCAUUUGGAACCUCCGAAAACACCAAUAGAGCCCCAACAAGUUUAAAUUUAAGAAAACUUUAACAUUAUUGACAAUAAAUCGAAACCUUCCUACCUAAUACACGCUUUGAAGACAAUAAUUAUAGUCGAUGUUUGUGCUUUCAAAAAUUGGUAAAUUAAUGUGAAUAAUUACGAUUAAUGCACACAAGUUUCAUAAAUAAAAAGAUUUCA